GGGGAUAUAGCUCAGUUGAUUAGAGCGCUGCCAUGGCAUGGCAGAGGUCCAGGGUUUGAGUCCCUGUAUCUCCACCA
rnacentral:tRNA from 3 species